GGUUAAGCGACUAAGCGUACACGGUGGAUGCCCUGGCAGUCAGAGGCGAUGAAGGACGUGCUAAUCUGCGAUAAGCGUCGGUAAGGUGAUAUGAACCGUUAUAACCGGCGAUUUCCGAAUGGGGAAACCCAGUGUGAUUCGUCACACUAUCAUUAACUGAAUCCAUAGGUUAAUGAGGCGAACCGGGGGAACUGAAACAUCUAAGUACCCCGAGGAAAAGAAAUCAACCGAGAUUCCCCCAGUAGCGGCGAGCGAACGGGGAGGAGCCCAGAGCCUGAAUCAGUGUGUGUGUUAGUGGAAGCGUCUGGAAAGGCGCGCGAUACAGGGUGACAGCCCCGUACACAAAAAUGCACAUACUGUGAGCUCGAUGAGUAGGGCGGGACACGUGGUAUCCUGUCUGAAUAUGGGGGGACCAUCCUCCAAGGCUAAAUACUCCUGACUGACCGAUAGUGAACCAGUACCGUGAGGGAAAGGCGAAAAGAACCCCGGCGAGGGGAGUGAAAAAGAACCUGAAACCGUGUACGUACAAGCAGUGGGAGCACGCUUCGGCGUGUGACUGCGUACCUUUUGUAUAAUGGGUCAGCGACUUAUAUUCUGUAGCAAGGUUAACCGAAUAGGGGAGCCGAAGGGAAACCGAGUCUUAACUGGGCGUUAAGUUGCAGGGUAUAGACCCGAAACCCGGUGAUCUAGCCAUGGGCAGGUUGAAGGUUGGGUAACACUAACUGGAGGACCGAACCGACUAAUGUUGAAAAAUUAGCGGAUGACUUGUGGCUGGGGGUGAAAGGCCAAUCAAACCGGGAGAUAGCUGGUUCUCCCCGAAAGCUAUUUAGGUAGCGCCUCGUGAAUUCAUCUCCGGGGGUAGAGCACUGUUUCGGCAAGGGGGUCAUCCCGACUUACCAACCCGAUGCAAACUGCGAAUACCGGAGAAUGUUAUCACGGGAGACACACGGCGGGUGCUAACGUCCGUCGUGAAGAGGGAAACAACCCAGACCGCCAGCUAAGGUCCCAAAGUCAUGGUUAAGUGGGAAACGAUGUGGGAAGGCCCAGACAGCCAGGAUGUUGGCUUAGAAGCAGCCAUCAUUUAAAGAAAGCGUAAUAGCUCACUGGUCGAGUCGGCCUGCGCGGAAGAUGUAACGGGGCUAAACCAUGCACCGAAGCUGCGGCAGCGACACUAUGUGUUGUUGGGUAGGGGAGCGUUCUGUAAGCCUGCGAAGGUGUACUGUGAGGUAUGCUGGAGGUAUCAGAAGUGCGAAUGCUGACAUAAGUAACGAUAAAGCGGGUGAAAAGCCCGCUCGCCGGAAGACCAAGGGUUCCUGUCCAACGUUAAUCGGGGCAGGGUGAGUCGACCCCUAAGGCGAGGCCGAAAGGCGUAGUCGAUGGGAAACAGGUUAAUAUUCCUGUACUUGGUGUUACUGCGAAGGGGGGACGGAGAAGGCUAUGUUGGCCGGGCGACGGUUGUCCCGGUUUAAGCGUGUAGGCUGGUUUUCCAGGCAAAUCCGGAAAAUCAAGGCUGAGGCGUGAUGACGAGGCACUACGGUGCUGAAGCAACAAAUGCCCUGCUUCCAGGAAAAGCCUCUAAGCAUCAGGUAACAUCAAAUCGUACCCCAAACCGACACAGGUGGUCAGGUAGAGAAUACCAAGGCGCUUGAGAGAACUCGGGUGAAGGAACUAGGCAAAAUGGUGCCGUAACUUCGGGAGAAGGCACGCUGAUAUGUAGGUGAAGUCCCUCGCGGAUGGAGCUGAAAUCAGUCGAAGAUACCAGCUGGCUGCAACUGUUUAUUAAAAACACAGCACUGUGCAAACACGAAAGUGGACGUAUACGGUGUGACGCCUGCCCGGUGCCGGAAGGUUAAUUGAUGGGGUUAGCGGUAACGCGAAGCUCUUGAUCGAAGCCCCGGUAAACGGCGGCCGUAACUAUAACGGUCCUAAGGUAGCGAAAUUCCUUGUCGGGUAAGUUCCGACCUGCACGAAUGGCGUAAUGAUGGCCAGGCUGUCUCCACCCGAGACUCAGUGAAAUUGAACUCGCUGUGAAGAUGCAGUGUACCCGCGGCAAGACGGAAAGACCCCGUGAACCUUUACUAUAGCUUGACACUGAACAUUGAGCCUUGAUGUGUAGGAUAGGUGGGAGGCUUUGAAGUGUGGACGCCAGUCUGCAUGGAGCCGACCUUGAAAUACCACCCUUUAAUGUUUGAUGUUCUAACGUUGGCCCCUGAUCGGGGUUGCGGACAGUGUCUGGUGGGUAGUUUGACUGGGGCGGUCUCCUCCUAAAGAGUAACGGAGGAGCACGAAGGUUGGCUAAUCCUGGUCGGACAUCAGGAGGUUAGUGCAAUGGCAUAAGCCAGCUUGACUGCGAGCGUGACGGCGCGAGCAGGUGCGAAAGCAGGUCAUAGUGAUCCGGUGGUUCUGAAUGGAAGGGCCAUCGCUCAACGGAUAAAAGGUACUCCGGGGAUAACAGGCUGAUACCGCCCAAGAGUUCAUAUCGACGGCGGUGUUUGGCACCUCGAUGUCGGCUCAUCACAUCCUGGGGCUGAAGUAGGUCCCAAGGGUAUGGCUGUUCGCCAUUUAAAGUGGUACGCGAGCUGGGUUUAGAACGUCGUGAGACAGUUCGGUCCCUAUCUGCCGUGGGCGCUGGAGAACUGAGGGGGGCUGCUCCUAGUACGAGAGGACCGGAGUGGACGCAUCACUGGUGUUCGGGUUGUCAUGCCAAUGGCACUGCCCGGUAGCUAAAUGCGGAAGAGAUAAGUGCUGAAAGCAUCUAAGCACGAAACUUGCCCCGAGAUGAGUUCUCCCUGACCCUUUAAGGGUCCUGAAGGAACGUUGAAGACGACGACGUUGAUAGGCCGGGUGUGUAAGCGCAGCGAUGCGUUGAGCUAACCGGUACUAAUGAACCGUGAGGCUUAACCUU
rnacentral:rRNA from 1 species